CACUCCUACUCACUUGUUAUGGACACAAUCCUAUCUACUACCCUUCUACUUUUAUCUAUGUCCUCCACACCUUCCUAUUUAAGGUCAUAUACUCGAUAAGCUGCAACGCACCGGUGACGCAUCAAUUCUAAUUUCUUUGGUUUUUAUGUUGGUGAUGAUUUGUCUCUACCUUGAACUAUACUUUCUCGGUACGGAAUGUUCUACUUCUUGGUCUAAUCAACUGAACUGUCGUGGAUUAAACAGGCACCUAAACCAGAACCGCCUGUUGGGAAACUGCUGCCAAGUCCGUUGAAAAGAAAGGCAAGGAUUUGUCUCUAGAUCCAGCUGAAAAACUUCGUCAACAAAGUGAAGAGUGAUUUCUUGGAUAUGCUGAGCUAAUUUCUCAUAAAGCUGAGACCGUAUGAGAAAAGUUACCAUUAAAUCGGACUGCUCAAGGCAGUUAUGAGACUGUCGAUUACUCGGUUGAAAAGACGAGAUGCUAAAGAUAUUGCUUCUUCUGUUACUGCAAUUGAUAAGGCUGAAAAGGAAGCCAAUGCAAGUGCAAAGAAGAAGAAGCUGCAUGUUGAUCGGGCAGACUAUGAAGCAGUUGUUAAUGCAUACGACAGUGUCUUCAUGUGAGGGAACUUAGAAAAUCAUGUAAAUAGAACACCUCCCCACAACGUUAGACGAUCUUGGAGUUACAUGUGAAAAAAUGAGGAUCCCGCGACCUGUUUUCCCAACCUAUUCGCCUUUUCUGUGAUCAAGUAAUUGUUGGGGAAUUGUUGGGGAUCAAGUCAUAAAUCCGGAGAAGGAUUGGACUGCAUGAAUCUAUUGUAUAAAAUAUUAUUUAUCUAACAUUUUAAAAAAAUCUGAAUAUUAAUUUGCCUAGGUAGAGAUAAUACAUAACUGUGUUUUAAUUUG